rnacentral:tRNA from 1 species
GUGCCUGUAGCUCAACGGAUAGAGCGCUCGCCUACGAAGCGAGAGACUGGAGGUUCGAAUCCUCCCGGGCGCACCA